AACCCAUGUUGAGAACACCUUCUCAGUAAGUCCUUUAUCUCUCCCAUGCAUCAUAAAGUGUUUCUAAAUCCAUCUGCACAAAAGAAGAGAUAUCAUUACGCAAUUU
rfam:Gossypium arboreum cultivar AKA8401 contig_35348_1, whole genome shotgun sequence.